rnacentral:rRNA from 1 species
GCCCAGUAAACUAACCUUUUGUUGCCUCGGCCGAAGUUAUAGGUCUUCUUAUAGCUGCUGCCGGUGGACCAUUAAACUCUUGUUAUUUUAUGUAAUCUGAGCGUCUUAUUUUAAUAAGUCAAAACUUUCAACAACGGAUCUCUUGGUUCUGGCAUCGAUGAAAAACGCAGCGAAAUGCGAUAAGUAAUGUGAAUUGCAGAAUUCAGUGAAUCAUCGAAUCUUUGAACGCACAUUGCGCCCAUUAGUAUUCUAGUGGGCAUGCCUGUUCAAGCGUCAUUUCAACCCUUAAGCCUAGCUUAGUGUUGGGAAUCUACUUCUUUUAUUAGUUGUAAUUCCUGAAAUACAACGGCGGAUUUGUAGUAUCCUCUGAGCGUAGUAAUUUUUUUCUCGCUUUUGUUAGGUGCUAUAACUCCCAGCCGCUAAACCCCCAAUUUUUUGUGGUUGACCUCUGAUCAAGUAGGAAUACCCGCUGAACUUAAGCAUAUCAAUAAGCGGAGGAAUAUU